CCUACGGGGGGCAGCAGUGAGGAAUAUUGGUCAAUGGCCGGAAGGCUGAACCAGCCAUGCCGCGUGAAGGUCAGUGCCCUAUGGGCGUUAAACUUCUUUUGUGCGGGAGCAAUAAUGGUCACGUGUGGCCAGACGAGAGUACCGUACGAAUAAGCAUCGGCUAACUCCGUGCCAGCAGCCGCGGUAAUACGGGGGAUGCAAGCGUUAUCCGGAUUUAUUGGGUUGAAAGGGUGCGUAGGCUGGGAGGUAAGUCAGCGGUGAAAUGCCCCCGCUCAACGGGGUGAAGUGCCAUUGAUACUGCCUGGCUGGAAUGCGGAUGCCGUGGGAGGAAUGUGUGGUGUAGCGGUGAAAUGCAUAGAUAUCACACAGAACACCGAUUGCGAAGGCAUCUCACGAAUCCGCGAUUGACGCUGAUGCACGAAAGCGUGGGUAUCAAACAGGAUUAGAUACCCUAGUAGUC
rnacentral:rRNA from 1 species